AUGAUUUACAUUUGAGUGAGUGGCGAACUGGUGAGUAACACGUGGGAAACCUGCCCAGAAGCGGGGGAUAACACCUGGAAACAGAUGCUAAUACCGCAUAACAACUUGGACCGCAUGGUCCGAGCUUGAAAGAUGGCUUCGGCUAUCACUUUUGGAUGGUCCCGCGGCGUAUUAGCUAGAUGGUGGGGUAACGGCUCACCAUGGCAAUGAUACGUAGCCGACCUGAGAGGGUAAUCGGCCACAUUGGGACUGAGACACGGCCCAAACUCCUACGGGAGGCAGCAGUAGGGAAUCUUCCACAAUGGACGAAAGUCUGAUGGAGCAACGCCGCGUGAGUGAAGAAGGGUUUCGGCUCGUAAAACUCUGUUGUUAAAGAAGAACAUAUCUGAGAGUAACUGUUCAGGUAUUGACGGUAUUUAACCAGAAAGCCACGGCUAACUACGUGCCAGCAGCCGCGGUAAUACGUAGGUGGCAAGCGUUGUCCGGAUUUAUUGGGCGUAAAGCGAGCGCAGGCGGUUUUUUAAGUCUGAUGUGAAAGCCUUCGGCUCAACCGAAGAAGUGCAUCGGAAACUGGGAAACUUGAGUGCAGAAGAGGACAGUGGAACUCCAUGUGUAGCGGUGAAAUGCGUAGAUAUAUGGAAGAACACCAGUGGCGAAGGCGGCUGUCUGGUCUGUAACUGACGCUGAGGCUCGAAAGUAUGGGUAGCAAACAGGAUUAGAUACCCUGGUAGUCCAUACCGUAAACGAUGAAUGCUAAGUGUUGGAGGGUUUCCGCCCUUCAGUGCUGCAGCUAACGCAUUAAGCAUUCCGCCUGGGGAGUACGGCCGCAAGGCUGAAACUCAAAGGAAUUGACGGGGGCCCGCACAAGCGGUGGAGCAUGUGGUUUAAUUCGAAGCUACGCGAAGAACCUUACCAGGUCUUGACAUACUAUGCAAAUCUAAGAGAUUAGACGUUCCCUUCGGGGACAUGGAUACAGGUGGUGCAUGGUUGUCGUCAGCUCGUGUCGUGAGAUGUUGGGUUAAGUCCCGCAACGAGCGCAACCCUUAUUAUCAGUUGCCAGCAUUAAGUUGGGCACUCUGGUGAGACUGCCGGUGACAAACCGGAGGAAGGUGGGGAUGACGUCAAAUCAUCAUGCCCCUUAUGACCUGGGCUACACACGUGCUACAAUGGAUGGUACAACGAGUUGCGAACUCGCGAGAGUAAGCUAAUCUCUUAAAGCCAUUCUCAGUUCGGAUUGUAGGCUGCAACUCGCCUACAUGAAGUCGGAAUCGCUAGUAAUCGCGGAUCAGCAUGCCGCGGUGAAUACGUUCCCGGGCCUUGUACACACCGCCCGUCACACCAUGAGAGU
rnacentral:rRNA from 2 species